UACGGGAGGCAGCAGUGGGGAAUAUUGCACAAUGGGCGAAAGCCUGAUGCAGCUAUGCCGCGUGUAUGAAGAAGGCCUUAGGGUUGUAAAGUACUUUCAUCGGGGAGGAAAAAACAAAACUAAUAAUUUUAUUUCUUGACGUUACCCGAAAAAGAAGCACCGGCUAACUCCGUGCCAGCAGCCGCGGUAAUACGGAGGGUGCUAGCGUUAAUCAGAAUUACUGGGCGUAAAGAGCACGUAGGUGGUUUUUUUAAAGUCAGAUGUGAAAUCCCUGGGCUUAACCUAGGAACUGCAUUUUGAAACUGAAAUACUAGAGUAUCGUAGAGGGAGGUAGAAUUCUAGGUGUAGCGGUGAAAUGCGUAGAUAUCUGGAGGAAUACCUGUGGCGAAAGCGGCCUCCUAAACGAAUACUGACACUGAGGGUGCGAAAGCUGGGGAGCAAACAGGGAUUAGAUACC
rnacentral:rRNA from 1 species